rnacentral:rRNA from 1 species
AUUGAACGCUGGCGGCAUGCCUUACACAUGCAAAUCGAACGGUAACGGGCCUUCGGGUGCCGACGAGUGGCGAACGGGCGAGUAAUACAUCGGAACGUGCCCGAUCGUGGGGGAUAACGAGGCGAAAGCUUUGCUAAUACCGCAUACGAUCUACGGAUGAAAGCAGGGGACCGCAAGGCCUUGCGCGGACGGGGCGGCCGAUGGCCGAUUAGGUAGUUGGUGGGAUAAACGCUUACCAAGCCGACGAUCUGUAGCUGGUCUGAGAGGAUGAUCAGCCACACUGGGACUGAGACACGGCCCAGACUCCUACGGGAGGCAGCAGUGGGGAAUUUUGGACAAUGGGCGCAAGCCUGAUCCAGCCAUGCCGCGUGCAGGAUGAAGGCCUUCGGGUUGUAAACUGAUUUUGUACGGAACGAAAAGCCUUCUUUUAAUACAGGAGGGUCAUGACGGUACCGUAAGAAUAAGCACCGGCUAACUACGUG